UCUCCGUAGGUGAACCUGCGGAGGGAUCAUUAAUGAGGAAACUCGGAGCGAUCCGAGGGGCCUCCCUGGCCGCCUCGCGCGGCCAUGGGGCGCCCGUCUUCACAACCCUUUGUCUAACGUACUCGUUGCCUCGGGGGCCUCACCGCCCCCGACGGACACCCUUCAAACACUGCAUCCCUGCGUCGGAGUAUUGAAACAAAUCAAUCAAAACUUUCAACAACGGAUCUCUUGGUUCUGGCAUCGAUGAAGAACGCAGC
rnacentral:misc_RNA from 1 species